GGUAAAGAAGGGAGAAACAAAGCAAGAAGCAUAGAUUCUUGGAUGUAUUCAUAUUCCUUUGCUUUAAGUCCUUCCGUCUCAAUUUCAACACCUAUAUAUGGUCACAUUUGAUCUCGUACCACUUGUCUUUACAUUUUUUUUUUUGGUGAGAACCACUUGUCUUUACAUGCUUCUUCUUUUUCUAUUUUUGGGUAUUAGACAAAUAAAACCUGCAUGGAAAUGAAUGUGAUAUCAUAUAUCUAUCGUUGUCCAAUACAAUUUGCGACAUAAACAAUAUUUUUGAUUUAUUAAAAAAGAUAAAUAAACGCAACUAUAUAUAUAUAUAUUAUUACCAAAGAACAUAUAUAAAGAAAUAUUAAUUUGGGCAUAUUUUAGGUUUUUGAUGACUUGCUGUUUGCUGAGAUUCGACCAUGCAAGCAAGUGGGAUCCUAAUUCUUACGGGAAAUGGAAGACGCUUUACGAUCAGAUCGUCGAGGAUUAGCACGCAGGAAGAUAUUUGCAAGAAUCUACUUUGGGUUGGGUCGGCCAUGGUAGUGAAUUUUUGUGAUUACACCGAAGAUCUUUAUAUGGAGGAAUAGUGAAUCUUGCCAAGUCAUAGGAGAUAUUUUUCGUUUAUCUUAUUUCUCAUAUUAGCAUUGUGCAUAUUUACCAUAAUUAGUUAAAUAUAUAUUUUCAUUUAUGUUGUUAAUAUUCUCCAAAUAAAAAACAAGAAAUAUACUCCUCUGUUUC
rnacentral:lncRNA from 1 species